UACGUAGGGUGCGAGCGUUAAUCGGAAUUACUGGGCGUAAAGUGUGCGCAGGCGGCCGAGCAAGUCGAGUGUGAAAGCCCCGAGCUUAACUUGGGAACUGCGCUCGAAACUACUUGGCUAGAGUGUGGCAGAGGGAGGUGGAAUUCCGAGUGUAGAGGUGAAAUUCGUAGAUAUUCGGAGGAACACCAGAAGCGAAGGCGGCCAACUGGCCCGAUACUGACGCUGAGGCGCGAAAGCGUGGGGAGCAAACAGG
rnacentral:rRNA from 1 species